CGAGGUGCUGCAUGGUUGUCGUCAGCUCGUGCCGUGAGGUGCGGGUUAAGUCCCAUAACGAGCGCAACCCCUACCUUUAGUUGCCAUCAGGUAAUGCUGGGGACUCUAAAGGAACUGCCUACGCAAGUAGUGAGGAAGGCGGGGAUGACGUCAAAUCAGCACGGCCCUUACGUCCAGGGCUACACACGUGCUACAAUGGCCGAUACAGAGGGCAGCUACCUGGUGACAGGAUGCAAAUCUCCAAAGUCGGUCUCAGUUCGGAUCGGAGUCUGCAACCCGACUCCGUGAAGUUGGAUUCGCUAGUAAUCGCGCAUCAGCCAUGGCGCGGUGAAUACGUUCCCGGGCCUU
rnacentral:rRNA from 1 species